rnacentral:rRNA from 1 species
GGGUUUCUGCGUCCGUAGGUGAACCUGCGGAAGGAUCAUUAAAAA